CCUACGGGUGGCAGCAGUGAGGAAUAUUGGUCAAUGGCCGAGAGGCUGAACCAGCCAAGUCGCGUGAGGGAAGACGGCCCUACGGGUUGUAAACCUCUUUUGUCGGGGAGCAAAGCGAACCACGUGUGGUUCAUUGAGCGUACCCGAAGAAAAAGCAUCGGCUAACUCCGCGCCAGCAGCCGCGGUAAUACGGAGGAUGUGAGCGUUAUCCGGAUCUAUUGGGUUUAAGGGGUGCGCAGGCGGAGGUGCAAGUCAGCGGUCAAAUUGCGGGGCUCAACCCCGUACUGCCGUUGAAACUGCAUCCCUUGAGUGCGCGAGAAGUAUGCGGAAUGCGUUGUGUAGCGGUGAAAUGCAUAGAUAUCACGCAGAACUCCGAUUGCGAAGGCAGCAUACCGGCGCGCUACUGACGCUCAUGCACGAAAGCGUGGGUAUCGAACAGGAUUAGAUACCCUUGUAGUC
rnacentral:rRNA from 1 species